GUUAAUUAACCUGUGACCAAUUUCAGAAUUAUUUUGCUCAGUCCAAAAAAUUAAGAUUAUGGAGUUCCUAAUUACACUAAUCACCACUGUUCUACUCUUGUUAAUGCCUGCAAUCACUUCCUCACAAUAUUUAGGAAACAACCUACUCACUAAUCGAAAGAUUUUCCAAAAACAAGAAACAAUUUCCUCUUAUGCUGUCGUGUUUGAUGCUGGUAGCACUGGUAGCCGUAUUCAUGUUUACCAUUUUGAUCAGAACUUAGAUCUUCUUCAUAUUGGCAAAGAUGUUGAGUUUUUUAAUAAGGUGACAAUAACAUUUUAUGCAUCACAUUUUUUUGUUCUUUUUUUUUUUUUGGUACAAUUUUUUUUGUUCUUCUUGAUUACUAUGAAGUUACUCCCUACGAUCUUAAAUAUAAUAAAAAAGUCAAAUGUAUUUGGUCCAAAUUUAAAUCAAAUAUAUUUGACUUUUUGAUUAUAUUUAAGAUGGAGGGAGUAUAUAUAUGUAAAUGUAUUCAUAUCAAUCGUUAUUCUCUUCAAUACUUACUUCAGUGUAUUAUGUUGUAGAUAACACCUGGUUUGAGUUCAUAUGCAAAUGAUCCGGAACAAGCUGCAAAAUCUUUGAUUCCACUUCUACAACAAGCAGAAAAUGUGGUCCCUAUUGAUCUACAUCACAAGACACCGAUCAGACUUGGGGUAGGUUUUUUCUUUGAUUUGGUGCAGUCACAAUCAUAGAUUCACGCCGUAAUCACAUUGAUGAUCGUUAGAUCAAAAUAUGCAGAAAGCAAACGAUUAAAAAAAUAAUUAAAAUUUCAAAUUUCAAAUCUGGACUGUCUGAUCUUGUUCCAACAAUCAUUGAUUUGUUGACUACGCAAAUGUGCAAUUUUUUUUUUGUAUGUUAACCCUCGCUUCUCAAGAAAAAUGGGCCCUGCUAAUCUGAUGUUCCGGCUAGAAUGAUCAAGAAUUGUUCCACCCGGAAAUAAAUGAAUGAAAUGUGUAACAACAUAUUUUUUAUUUUUGGUCUAUGUUUAUAUAAUUAGUGACAGAAAAUAUCAAUUACUCUGAUAAAAAAUAAAUCAAAUUUAUUAUCACUUUUAAUUGUUUCAAUAUGUAAAAGGAUUAAAUAAUUUGUAACAUAAUUUGCAUGAUAAUAUUAUUGCAGGCAACCGCAGGUUUAAGGCUUUUGAAUGGGGAUGCUUCUGAAAAGAUAUUGCAAGCGGUAAUUAUUAGUUUAAUUUUGUUAUUUUAUGUUUCAAUAUUAUAAUUAGCAGUUAGAUCUAAACUUUCCAUGCUUAAAUUAGAGCUUAAUUUUGUGUUCUUAAUUAAUUACCUUAGGUAAGGGAUAUGUUCAGCAAUAGAAGUACCUUCAAUGUUCAACCUGAUGCAGUUUCUAUUAUUGAUGGAACCCAAGAAGGUUCUUAUCUCUGGGUAUGACAAAUAUAGAACUAAAGAAUUUAAUUUUUAUUGUUUAUAUUCAUAUCUCUUUGAGAAAUAAUAUGAAUUUAGAAAUAAUGAUCAUUGUCAAAGUCAAACGAUUUCAAUGAUCUACUACGUAAAAAAUCCUAUGCAUUGGUAUUAAUUAUUUUCAUUAUUUUCUUAAUAGGUGACAGUUAACUAUGCAUUGGGGAAUUUAGGGAAAAAGUACACAAAAACAGUGGGAGUAAUGGAUCUUGGAGGUGGAUCAGUUCAAAUGGCAUAUGCAGUGUCAAAGAAAACAGCUAAAAAUGCUCCAAAAGUUGCUGAUGGAGUUGAUCCAUACAUUAAGAAGCUUGUACUCAAGGGAAAACCAUAUGAUCUCUAUGUUCACAGGUUUCCUUCUAAUUCAUUAUAUACUAUGAAGCACAUACAUGGACACGAACAUCAGACACGACACUGACACAAACACGUCAAUACAGAUAAAAUUUUAGUUGCAUAUAUAUCAUGGCUAAUAAUAUAUUGUUUCUUUCAGUUACUUACACUUUGGUAGAGAAGCAUCUCGAGCUGAGAUUAUGAAGGUCACUCGUAGUUCUCCUAACCCUUGCCUUUUAGCUGGAUUUGAUGGUAAACACAAGUUUGUUUCACAAGUUAUUGAAGUUUCAAAUUGUUAGUUAUUUGUUAAAGCUGAAAAAAUCUUCGAUCACACUAUUUCGUCUAUGAUAAUUUCAGAUAAUAAUUUGAUUGAAAAAAAAAACUUACAUGAUCAAUGAUUUCAAAGUUUCAAAUUUCAGUAUAUUUUUAUGUUUAUGUAUUUUAGUAGCAUGUUAUGAUAUGCCAAUAACAUAGGAUUAUUUUUGGUUCUUAAAAGGGACCUACACAUAUGCUGGAGAGGAGUUUAAGGCCAAAGCCCCUGCUUCUGGGGCUAAUUUUAAUGGAUGCAAAAAGAUAAUUCGUAAGGCACUUAAAUUGAACUAUCCAUGUCCCUAUCAAAAUUGCACUUUUGGUGGAAUUUGGAAUGGCGGAGGGGGAAAUGGACAGAAACACCUUUUUGCUUCUUCAUCUUUCUUUUACCUACCUGAAGAUGUAUGUAAUGUAUUAUUGUUUUCUUUUAUAAAUUUGAUGCUAUUUAAUUAAGCCUUGCUAAUUACAUUGUCAAAUUAUUAUUUUAGGUUGGUAUGGUUGAUCCAAAGACACCUAAUUUCAAAAUUCGUCCUGUGGAUCUCGUGAGUGAAGCUAAGAAAGCUUGUGCAUUAAACUUUGAGGAUGCCAAAUCCACUUAUCCAUUUCUUGCUAAGAAAAAUAUAGCUUCAUAUGUAUGCAUGGAUCUUAUAUAUCAGUAUGUGUUGCUCGUUGAUGGAUUUGGUAAGUUUUUGCUACGAAAGUUGAUAGCUUUGUUAUUUUUUCAUUUAUUUUUAUGAGUUGAAAAAUUACGAUUCCAUGCCAUAAUUUUUUCAUGCAUUCACAUAGUCACGACUUUAAUGGCUGUCCGGUCAAGAUCGGACGGUUCAGAAAAAUCAGAUUUAAUUUUUCUAAAAAUACAGAACUUAAAUUAUAGUCAUCCGAUCUUGACGUGUGAUUGCAUGUAAGCUAAGUGUGACGAUGAUUUAUAACUUCGAUCUUUGUAAAGAAAUAUUGUACACUAUAAUGUUUUCAUGCAAUAAUUGCUUCCAUUUUAUUGGCAGGCUUAGAUCCAUUGCAAGAAAUUACAUCGGGGAAGGAAAUUGAAUAUCAAGAUGCUGUUUUGGAAGCUGCAUGGCCUCUAGGCAAUGCUGUAGAAGCCAUAUCAUCGUUACCUAAAUUUGAACGAAUGAUGUAUUUUGUUUAAACUUUUGGAUGUUACUACAAGAUGUUCCAGCACUAGAAGGCAAUUCUGCGUAAAAUGAAAUAAAUUAAGUCCGACAUGUUUUUUCUAUUGAGAAAGUUUAUUUUCAAUAUUAAUUUGUGUUGUUUAUGAGAAUAUGACGUUGAGAAUAUCCCUGCAUAUAUGCAAGUUUAGAAUAUACCUUUCAAUUUGAAAUUCAACUCAGGACUUAAAUUUCUAAAAGAUCAAGAUUGACAGAUUUACGAUCACUACUACAGAAAUGACAUUUCACAUUAGUGGAAUUCGACUUUUCAAAUCGGAUCCCACCCGAUGUAACUAAAGGUGAUGUUGUAUGUCCACCCCAUUUCACAUCGGGUAUUUGCCCGAUGUGAAAUAUGCUUUUGCACAUCGGGUUCUUUAGCCUUGAUGUGAUAAGUGUCGUUAAGAGCAGCACAUAAGGGUUUUCACUACGGCGAGACGGUGAGAACAAUGGCGAGAACGACAUCGAUUGAGUGAAAACGACAACCCAAUUGGGUGAAACGUUGAGAAUGACGACGAUUUUAUGAGUGAGAACAAUGGCUUUCAAUGAGUGAGAUUAUUAGCAGAAGAUGAGUAUUAACGCGAUUGAAACGUGAAGGUUAAGAGAAAGGGGAUCUCAAAGGUGAAAGGGGAUCUGAGAUCUACAAGAAACGUUUUCUAUUGGUUAAGAGAAGUUUAGUCAAAAUUGCGAAAUUGCCACCGCUUUUGUUUUCCCCUCAUUUAAAAAAUCCACCGAAGGGAAAUGUUAUCGGUUAUUUAGUUUUACCCUCAGCUACUUGGGUCCACGGAUGUGAAAGAUAAAUCCAACUUCAACAAAAUUUCAAAAAUGCCACCGUGCUAGCUUUCCCUUUAGCUACUUUGUCCAAUGAUGUGAAAUCCCUAUUGUGAAAUGUAUAUUUUCUAGUAGUGGAUGUUCAAUUAGCUUGGGAUUGUUGUUUGUCUGAUUAUUGUCCCAUUGUGUUGAUUGUCGAUGAAGAUAAUUGGAGUCCAAAACUAUUGUGUAUGUUGAAAAGUUGGGACGAAUUUUUCGGUUAUAAAGAAUCAGAUGCUGGUUCUUGAUAAUAAAGGGGAGGAGAAAGAGUUAUCGGAGGAGGAGGAGGUGAAGUAACUUCAUUCUCUUUCAUCCCAACUGUUCUCGCUAACAAAGUUUCAUAUAACAAUGUGUAGUGGCAAACACAUAGACUAAAUUUAAAUUGGCUUAAAGAAUGGGAUGCCAACAUAAAAUUCUUCCAUGGGUUAAUGGCUAGUAGACGAAGGAUCAAUUCUAUUAUUUCUAUCAAUGUUAACAGUGCUCAAGUGGAAGGGGUCACCAAUGUUUGAGCGAUAGUUUUUCAUCAUUUUGCCAACCAUUUAAGUUAGACUCUGUUUGCCAAUCAUUCAAGACUCUUAGUACUUUGGAAAGCGACGAUCUAACUCGACCAUUCAGUGAGGAGGAGGUUAAACAAGCGGUUUAAGACUAUGACAGUUACAAAAGCCCUGGUCCUGAUGAUAUUAAUUUUGGCUUCAUUAUGGAGUUUUAGUUCGAGAUUAAAGCAUAUGUUUUGUGAUUCCUAUAUGUGUUUCAUCAAAAUGAAAAACUGGUGAAAGGCUUUAAUUGUACCUUCAUAGCUUUAAUUCCAAAGGUUGAAAAUCCUUAGCGUCCGGCCGAACUCAUACCCAUUUCUCUUGUUGGUUACAUUAACAAAGUGUUGGCGAAGGUCUUAACCAAUAGGAUUCGUCAGGUAAUCGAAACUUUUAUCUCUAAUGCUCAGUCUGAAUUCAUCAAAGGUCCUCAAAUUCCUGGUGGGAUUCUUAUCGCUAACGAAGUUGUGGAUGAAGUACGCAAGAAAAAAAAGAAUUAUUUAAAGUUGACUUUGAGAAUUGUUUUGACUUAGUGGACUGAAAAUAUUUUAGAAGUGGUAAUGGGGAAGAUGAUUUUUCUAGUCUUGUAAAUGGAUCAUGGAAUGCGUGAGAACGACUUCUAGUUUUGAAAGCUAACUUUUUUUUAGGCGAUGUUAGGUCUCAAGGUGAAUUUUCAUAAAAGUACGUUGAUAAGGGUAAAUAUGGUCGCUUCUUGGUUGGCUGAGGCGGCCUCGGUGCUGAACUGAAAAUUACAAUGUAUCCCUUUUAUUUAUCAUAAAAUUAUGAUAGAAGGUGAUCCUCAUCGUAUGAGUUUAUGGUAUCCAUUGCUUGAGUGCUUAAAUAAAGGUUAUUUGGGUGGAAAAGCUGGAAUUUGUCUUUGAAUGUCGCUUGGUUCUUCAUUAAUAUGUCAUGUUAGGAAAAUAAAUUUGAUUAAAAGAAAUAUUGUUUGUUUAGACAAGGAUAAUGGAGGUCUGGUGGUGCGCAUGAUUAGGGAACUUAAUUUGGCAAUUUUAGAAAAAUGAUGUUAGAGGUUAUAUCAGGAUCAAGAUAAUAUUUUGUGAGGGAGAUCUUUUGAGCUAAGAUCCUCCCCAUUUAUGUUCUUCUCCAUUUCUUCCAUUUGGAGAGAUAAAGACACAAAAAAGUUUUAAAAAAAAAUAUAAUUCAUGAUGGUGGGACUCACUUAAUGGUAGGACCCACUAUUUAUUUUUUGUGUCUAUCUCUCUUCAAAUUGCAUCCUCCAUUUAUUUUACCAAACAGAAAGGAUCCUUUCUCAUGUCUUUUGGGGUCCGCUUGGAGUUAGAAUCCUCUCCAUUUAUAACUUUCUCCAUUUCUUCCAUUUUGAGAGAUAAAUACACACAAAAAAUAAAAAAUAAUUAAUGAUGGUGGAAUCCACUUAGUGGUAUGACCCACAACCUAUUUUUCGUGUGUAUCUCUUUAUAAAUGGCAUCCUAUAUUUAUUUUUAUAAAUGGAGAUGAUCUUUACCCGUCAACUUGAUGGAAAGUUUUGAUAAAUAUUAAAGGAUGUUUGGAGUUGGGAGUGGGUAGUUGGUUUGAUGAAAAUUUAGUGAGAGCGGUGGGAAAUGCAACCAAAAAUUUCUUUUGGUUAGAUCCGUGGCUGGAGGGUGACCCUUUAUGUAGUAGAUUCAAACAUUUGUUUGUUUUGGCUAAAAAUCAAUUCAUUUAUGUUACCAAGAUGAACUCUAUAGGUUGAAAUAUUGGGGAGACACUUGAAAGUGGCAGCGCGUGUUACUAAUAUGGGAGGAUGGACAUGUAGGGGAGUGUUGUGUUUUGCUCGAUAACUUUUUUUUGCACGAUGGUGUGGAUGAUUCUUGGGAUUGUAACCUUGACCGAUGAAAAGGUUAUUACGUCACUGAUGUGUACCACAGGUUGUCUAAUGUGGAAAUAUUCGACCAACCAAAUAUAUAUAUGAUCCUUUUUGGAACAAAUUGUUUGCUUGGAGAUUGUUACAUAAUCGGCUUCCAACCAAGGAUAAUCUGCUUUGAUGUCGAGUUCUUCCGCCUAACUCCAAUUUGUGCACCAGUGGAUGUAGUUAGGAGGAAAAUGCUAAUCAUCUAGUUUUGAGUUGCAAUCACUUCUGAAGUCUCUGAUUUCUUGUUCUUCAAUGACUAGGAAUUUCAUCAGUUUGUUCAAAUGUUCUUGCCGACCAUUUUAAUCAAUUUUAUGAUAUAGGAAGUCAUUCUCUAAAUGUUCAAUCUUCACUCCAGUUGAUUUGGUAGUUUUAUGCUUGGGUAAUUUGAAAGGAGGUAAACUACUGCAUCUUUCAACAUAAGGAGUCUCUAAUGCAUCAAUUACUUGAUAAAGUGAAAUUUAUUUUCUGUUGGUGGUUGAAAGCGAAGAAUGAUAGUUUAGCUUUUGAUUUUCACCUUUGACGGCUAAAUCCUCUUCAAAGUUUGAGUUUUGUUACCUAGCAUUUGUCUUUUAUAAUUUUUUAUGCUUCUUUGACUUUGUUUCUUCGAAUGUUAUAAUUCCUCGAAUUCUAUUUUAGUACUCCUUGUAUUGGUUAGGAUUCUUCGUUGGUUUUAAUAUAAUUCAUAUUGCAUUCUCUUCAUAAAAAAAUAUAAAAGACAAAUGAUUUAACAACAAAUUUUAUUAAUAAUUUUGCAUGCGUAAAUAAAUAAUUGUGAAAACGACGUCAAAAAAUUACGGUAAGUAAUAUAAGUCUAAUAUAUUAAGGGCUCGUUUGGAUGAAUUUAUUUUUGAGCUUAUAAAAAAUAGGUUAUGCCAAUAAAUAUGCUUUUAAGUUAAAUUAUAAGUUCUCACUAACAAAAAUUAUAUCUUCAUAAGUUGUUUUUUCGUAAACCACUAUGAUAAGCUUAUGAAUGAUACAUAAAAACUUAUUUAUUUGCAUUAUUAGCUAAAAAAUAAGUCAAUUCAAAUGAGUCAUAAUUAAUGUAAUCUAUUGAUCUCUCGUCUUUAUUAUUAAAACGUUUUUUUUUUUUUGAGAUCUUAUUAUUAAAACGUUAAAUUACUACUAUUCAUUACCUCAAUUGUCUAUGUCAAAUUAUAUUUUUAUAUUCGUGUUAACUCUUCGAUUUCUAGUGGAAGAUGGGUUGAUACUUUGAAGUUCAGGUAUGAAGUACGUGUAGAUUAACUAUCAAAAAAAUUUUAUUUAAAAAUCAAAUUCAGAUUUCCAUGAAGAAGAGUCAUGUUAUACCAACGCUUGCAACACAAUGUCGAUUCAAAUUAACAUGGUAAUGGUGGCUCAAAGGGCCUAAGCACUAGAGAUAGUUGGAGUUAUGGGUGGCAAAAAUGGCCCGACACUUGUGACUAUUUUCGACGGGUUGAGCUGAAGUUUCAAACUCAACCCCUUUUGUCGGAUUGCAUCACUUUGCUCGCUGAGAAAAUGAGGUGGGGCGGCCUAUGAGCUACAUAAUAUAUGUCAAUAUUUUAAAAAAAAAAAAUUAUUCGGUGGGUCUGACAAAAUAUGUCAUCAUUGAGACUUAUUUUGUGUUUUUGGAAUUAUUUUGAGACUUGUUUAAUGUUGUUGGAUUUAUAAUGGUCACAUUAUUGCUAUUAAUUAUGAUGCUACAUUUGUUAAUUAUGUUGUUUGAUUUUUUUAUGAUGUUGGAUUUGUCUCGUAACCUUGUUUUUAUAACAAAUUUAUUUGUUGCCAUUUUUUUUCUUUUGAAUAACAACAAUUUUGUACCAACAAAAUUGUCAAUAAAAUUAUGUUAAGUUAUACCAAAGACCCUUUAAAUUGUUUUAUUGUAAUAAAUUGAUCUUUUGAGUUUUAUUUCGUAUCACUUAGCUCCUUUAAGUUAAUUAAUUAUAAUAAAUUAGUUAUUUAAGUUUAUUUCGUAUUAUUAGGUCCUUUAAAUUAUUUAACCAUAGGGAUUUAAGAUCUUAAUUGCUUGUCACAUUGUUUAAAAAUAUUUAAUUUCUUAAUUGCUUGUUUGUAAAAAAAAUUAUUGCUUGUUACAACACAAUUGUUGGUUGCAAUACGUGUAUAGUUUCUUAAUUGCUUGUCACAAUUAUUGUACAAUUUUCUGUGACUGAAUUUGUUAGGGAAAUUGUCUAAAACCAACCCUUUCACGGUUUAGAGCUCGAGUAGUGUUAGGGAAAUUAGUAGUGGUAUCAUUUGAGACAACUUUGAUGAUAAUUUUUAUUUUCUCUUGAUAAAAAAUAAUAGAGACAAGAAAGAAAGAGAGAAAAUAAGGGUAUAAUGUGAGUAUGAGAAAUAAUGUUGUCAAAAAAUUGUCACAAAAUGAUUGUAUAAAUAUCAUUUCUCUUAGAGCUUCGUUAGAAGACAUCAUUCUCUUUUAAGACUGGCAAACCUUAUGGAAACAAAAGGGAAAGGAUGUUUACCAGUUUGUGGACGAAUACAGUGCUAAUGUCGAUGGAUACAACCCUAUAUCUACGCACCCAAAGAAGUUUUGCUGUCAUGCAAAUUUUACACAAAUUUUAUGGUUUUCGUGAUGUAUUGUUUGUGGUAGCAGUCCACUCUCACAUUCAUGAACGAGUCACCCGCUGAAUAGAACAAAUUUGGUUGAUGAAAUAUCUUUGGUGGAAGAUAGCGCAGAAGAAGGCAACCAUAAAAAUUUUAGUUUUUCUUUUAUUUUUUAACGUCACUUUGUUGUUGUGUACACCAAAGUGAGACGUUAUACUCUUACUUGUACAUAAAAAAAAAGUAAAAAUAUGAAUAAGAGAUUUUUUUUUUUUUUUGAAGAAAAAAUAUGAAUAAGAGAUAAAAAGUAAAAAUGUUGGAAUAUCAUAAUUUGAUGUAAAAAAAAAAAAUUGGAUGUAAAAAUGUAAGAUGAACUAUGAAGAAGUACACUGUACACAGUACACACACCGACACACGAGUUAAGCGAGGGCAAGUUUUUUAUUUUAUUUUCCACGAAAUGUUCAACGUGUAUAAAAUAGGUGGGGUAGAAAAUUGAAAUGGACCCUCUUUUUGUACCAAAAAUAAAUAAAUUGAAAUGGCAGGUUAAUGUACAAUGAAAAUGACGAGAAAUCCAAUAAUUGGUGCACGACGAAAACCAUGUUCCAAAAGACAAAUUAUUCUAAUUUUUUUUUUUUUUUUGUGUGGGGUUCGAACCCCGACCCUUGCAUAUAAUAAUACAUUAUCUUACCAACUGAGCUAUGUUCACGGGACCUAAUUCUUUUUUUUUUUACCAUAUUGAUUUGUAAUUGACUGCGACCCUUUUUGAAGAACAUAAAAUAUAUUAUCCGCAUAUACUAAAAGACCAAUAAUGCUUCAAUUAUUUUCUUUUUCAUUGUAAUUGAUGCUUCAGUUUUGUUUCAAGGCUUAUAUUUACACAAAAAGUCAUGUGAUAGAGUUAACUUUAAUUAUAGUUUAUGUAAAAAAAUCUUUUUCCGAUAUAUAGUAGAAAAGAUGUUAAAAAACAGGCUUAAGGUAAUUUCAACAUGUAGAAAGAACACCGUUAUAUGUAGUAUGAAGAGUAGAUCAGAUGAAGAAGAGUAUAUGCAGGGGAUAAUUUAGAAAAACUAUGAGAGAAACUAUUAAAAAAGAUUUAGAGGUUAAUCAAAAUAUGGUUUAGGAUAGAAUAUUAUGAUGUAAUUUGAUUCAUAUAGCCAACCCUAUUUAGUAGGAUACAACUUGUCUGUUCUUGUAAACAAUUUUAAUUUGGACGUUCAUUUGAUUUUUUUUAUUGAAGUGGACAUAAAAUGAUUGAUUAAUUCGACGAUCAAUUCCACUAUCCACUAGAGGGGACCAAUUGAAACCUAAUUAACUCUGUUAAUGAAGAUUUGUCACCAUAUUAUAUAUUAUUAUUUAUUGGUGGAAGCUUAUGCGGUACAUUCAUAAAUAGAACGCUUUUGCUACAUUAACUUCUUAAAAAGGAUAAAUUUAUGAUCAUUUUUAUGAACCAAAACUAUUUGUCGAUAAUUAUGUAGUUAAUGAGAGGUUAUAAGCAUUAUACUUUUUUUUAUAUAUUUUUUUUUAAUAUACACUUUUAUGAUUAAUAAAAAUUUAUUAUAAGAAUGGUAAUAUAAUCGAGUAACUUCAUUUCAAGAAUGGUAGAAUGUGUCAAGGUUCAAAUUUUGGGUGGUUUCAGAGUAGUUUAAGACAAAGUUCGAAAAUGAAAAAAUGAGAAAGAAUCUAAGGCUGCAUGUAUAUAAGUGUAUUUCAGAUUAUAUAAGUCGAAACUUUUUUUUUGUUUGGAUUAUAUAUUUUUAUAAUCAAACGGAUGUAAAAUUGAAAAAAUGGAGGGUUGAAAAAAGAAAGAAAAAAAAAAACUAUUGCUGCGUAAAAAGUGGGAAAAUAAAUUCUUUAUAAUAAACAUGUACAAUAAUAAAACAUGUACAAAAUAAUCAUUUUGUACUAACUGCUACUUGGAAAAGCUGUGAUAAACAACAAAAAAACUACAAAGUUAUUCCAAUCUUGUUUCUUUUCACUGCUGGCCUUUUAUUUGUUUUGCAAUUGGAUUGGAUUGAACUGGAGAGAAAAUAAAUUCAAACUUUUUUUUAGGAAGAAUAAAUUUAAACUUUUAUUAUUGUUAAAAAAUAAUUUGUUGUGAGUACUACUACAAUAUUAAUAUAUAAAUCUUUUUUUCUUUUAAAUUAAAUGUGUCUAACGAUAAAACUCACACACACAAUAUGUUGAGAAAUGAAGAAUUACUUAUGAGACUAUAAAUAUGCUUUUUAAUUUUAUCAUUUUAGGCAAUUAUCUCACAAUGUCUCAACAAAUUUUAAAUACGUCCUUCGUGAAUAAUCUCUUGAUUUUUUAAAGGGCCUAAAGACAUUGACAGGAGAAAGAAAACUGCUCCACUUUAUCAUACUACAUAGUAUUAUAUAUUAGUGGGAACUAAGAAUGCAAGAGCUACCAACACUAGCUAGUUUCAAAAUGGUUUUGCUUUGGCAAAACACCAAGAAUAUGAUGAACUUUAUGACACUCAUCACAUUUCUUCUCUUCAUUAUGCCUUCAAUUUCUUACUCCCAAUAUCUUGGAAACAACAUAUUACUCACUAACCGUAAGAUUUUCCCAAAACAAGAACCAAUUUCCUCUUAUGCUGUUGUGUUUGAUGCUGGUAGCACUGGAAGCCGUGUCCAUGUUUACCAUUUUGAUCAAAACUUAAAUCUUCUUCAUGUUGGUAAAGAUGUUGAGUUUUAUAAUAAGGUGACAAUAACAUCUUUUUGGCAUCAAAGUUUACUUUGUAGACAUAUAUUUCCUGUUUUUAUUUUUUAAAUCAUGUGUUCAUUUUAAUUUAGUAAUAAGAGAAGAUGAAAUGUUGGUUUGUGAUUAUGCAUUUUAAUUUUGAGAUAAUGAAAACAAUUUUUUUUUUUACAUUUUCAUUGUUAUAAAAAAAUACAAACAAUUUUUCACUUCAAUGGUUUAGUACCUUGUUAUUAUAAACUAAAAUUAAAACAAAUUUUAGAAAAAUGAACAUAACAAACUUUUUUUUUGAGGUAACAUAACAAACAUUUUUAUAAAGUAGUUUUUAUUAGAAUUUAAUUUCUCAACUUCUAACUUUAAAGUAUUCUUUUAUAGACAACGCCCGGUUUGAGUGCAUACGCGGAUAAUCCAGAAGAAGCUGCAAAAUCUUUGAUUCCACUUUUAGAGCAAGCAGAAAGUGUAGUUCCUGAGGAUCAGCGCUCCAAGACACCCAUUAGACUUGGGGUAAAUUUUUUGGUGUAUUUUUUUAUAUUUUUUUAUAUCAUGUUUUAGGUAUUGAGUUUUCACCAUCAUUUAACACGGAUUAAUAUUCGUCAUAAAAUCUGUCAGAACAUAAGGUGGAUUCUUAUCUUCUAACUAAAUUUCCACCAUAUGCAAAAAGAGUUAUGAAUUGAACAUCUUAUCACUUGCUCAAAUGACUCAAAUCCUUUAUCGUUAAUCUUGCAAAAGAUUGAACCGUGGACAAAAAAACUAUAGAUGGAAAAUAUGAAAUUUGCAUGUAUAUAAUUUCAUCAUUAAACUUAGUAACAAUACCGUUUUUCUUUAUAUCCUAACCGUCAUUCCUAACUAAUUUUCGUCUAUAAUUUUGCAAUUACUUUUUUGCAUGAUACAAUUUUUAUUUCGGUAUCUAGAUUUAAGAAUGAUUUGGCAUUAUUGUAUGAAAUUAUGCAUCUAUUAGUCACAGUGUGUUAAACUCAAGUUGUUUGGUGGAUAAACGUAUCACAUAUGUGACAUAAUCUAUUUCCUCAAGUCUCACAUAUAAUUUUUUUUAGAGUGAUUAUUAAUUCAAUAAAAUUAAUAACCACUUGACCAAAAAAAUAAAAAUUAAUAACCACUUACAAUAGAUAGAUCAAAUGAUAAGAGACUUGAAGUAUCUGGUUAAUGGUUUGAUUGGAAAAUCCACGUUGUAUGCUCCACAAAUUUUUGACGGAGAUUAAUUAUGCUAAAUAGCGAGCGGUGAAAACUUUAUACAGAUAACAUGAUAAUAUUUUUUUAAUUGGGUCAAUAUUUAAAAGGAGUUAGUAAACAGGAAUUUGUAAUUAACCAAAUAUUUAUGCAGGCAACAGCAGGUUUAAGGCUUUUGAAUGGGGAUGCUUCUGAAAAAAUACUGCAAUCGGUAACCAUAAGUUUAAUUUUGUUAUUCAAUAGUUCAAUAAUGUUAUAAUUAGCUGUUAGGUGUUAAGCUUAAUUUCGUGCUCCCAUUUAAUUACCUUAGGUAAGGGAUUUGUUCAGCAAUAGAAGUACCUUCAAUGUUCAACCUGAUGCAGUUUCUAUUAUUGAUGGAACCCAAGAAGGUUCUUAUCUCUGGGUAUGACUUAAACUAAAGUUUUUUUUUCUUCUUUCUUUUCUGAAAUUCAUAUAAGAAUAUUAUUUGUGGUAUGUGUUAUGUUUUGAAUAGGCUUCUUUUAAAAAUUACGCUAUUCAAGAUUUGAAUUUCUUGUAUGGUAUACAUCAAAUAUUUUUUAGAAAGGAAAAAUUGUUACUUAGCAUUAUUUUUUGUACAAAAUUAAAAUGUCAAAAUGUUCUUUUUGGUGAAAAAAAAUGAUAAAUUUCAUGUAAUAAACUUGAAAAUUGGAAAAUGAAGAAAUAAGUAGACUAAUUUGUAAACUUGAAACUUGUCAUCUUUAUAGGUGACAGUUAACUAUGCAUUGGGGAAAUUGGGAAAAAAAUUCACAAAAACAGUGGGAGUAAUGGAUCUUGGAGGUGGAUCAGUUCAAAUGGCAUAUGCAGUGUCAAAGUAUACAGCUAAAAAUGCUCCAAAAGUUGCUGAUGGAGAAGAUCCAUACAUUAAGAAGCUUGUACUCAAGGGAAAAAAAUAUGAUCUCUAUGUUCAUAGGUUUAAUUUCCCACUAGUUCUUCAUAUAAUAUAUUGAUUUCUCAUAACAUUUAUACGAUGCAUGCCUAAUAUAUUAAGGGCUUUUAAUUUCUGUCUGCCAGUUACUUACACUUUGGUAGAGAAGCAUCUCGAGCAGAGAUUUUGAAGGUCACACAUAAUUCUCCCAACCCUUGCAUUUUAGCUGGAUUUGAUGGUAAACACAAGUUAUUUUCACAAGUUAUUGAAGUUUUAAGUUGUUUGUUGAAACUUAAUAUAUGCUAAUUAUUUAAGAGAUUAAGUUGGCUGAAACAACUCUCGGUCUAGCCGAUCGUUAGGUCAGGUACCGAGUUUAAAAAAAAAAAAAUACUUGACUUAAACAAAAAAAAAAAACUAAUAUGGUCGAUUUUCGAUUUCACUUUUUUAAUAUUGCAAUUUUUAGAAUUAAUAACAAAUGUUCUGUUUUUCAAAGGGACAUACACAUAUGCUGGAGAAGAAUUUAAGGCCAAUGCCCCUGCUUCUGGAGCCAAUUUUAAAAAAUGCAAAAAGAUAGUUCGUGAGGCUCUUAAAUUGAAUUAUCCAUGUCCCUAUCAGAAUUGCACUUUUGGUGGAAUUUGGAGUGGUGGAGGAGGAAGUGGACAGAGAAUACUUUUUGCUGCUUCAUCUUUCUUUUACCUAGCUGAAGAUGUAUGUAUUAUUAUUGUUAAUUUAUUUCCCAAUUAUUUUGAUAGUGUUCAUUAACAUUAAGCCUUUCUAAUUACAUUGUUUAUUAUUUUAGAUUGGUUUGGUUGACCCAAAUACACCUUAUAGUCUCACACUUCGUCCUGUGGAUCUUGAGACUGAAGCUAAGAAAGCUUGUACAUUAAAUCUUGAGGAGGCCAAAUCAACUUAUCCACUUCUUGUGGAUUUCAAUAUAGUAGAAUAUGUAUGCAUGGAUCUUAUAUAUCAGUACGUGUUGCUCGUUGAUGGAUUUGGUAAGUUUAAAACUUUGAUAUUGUAAUUUGUUGAAAAUUACAAUGAUUAAUGUCUCUAUGCAAUAAUAAUUGAUUUUAUUUGUUGGCAGGCCUAGACCCAUUGCAAGAGAUUACUGCGGGAAAGCAAAUUGAAUAUCAAGAUUCUCUUGUUGAAGCUGCGUGGCCACUAGGCAAUGCUGUAGAAGCCAUAUCAUCGUUACCUAAAUUUGAACGAUUGAUGUAUUUUAUUUAAGCUUCUUGAUAUAUGUUCAAGCACUACAUGCCAGCUUUACCUAAUAUGAAAUAAAACAAGUUUGACAUCUUUUUUCCAUUGAGUUUGUUUAUUUACAUAUUAACUUGUUUUAUUUAUGAGUCUAUGAAGUUUUUCGGUGUAAAAUGAAUAUCCUCCGCGCUCAAGUUUAACGCUGCUGUUAUGAGUAUAUGAAAUUGAGAAUAUUGAUAGCUUGUGGUGGCAAUCAAAUAUUGAAAUUUUUGUAUCCGCAAAAUCUUGGUAACAAUCGAAACAUUAACUUGUUUUUCAAUGUUUUAAGAUAAGGUUUUGAAAAGUUUGUUUGUUUAGUAGCAAAUGCGGAAAAUGGUAAUGAAAAUAUCAAAUUAAAAAGUUGUGGGAUUAGAUUUCAUUAGUUAAUUCUUUGAUGUAUUCUCUUGAUUGAUUAUAUAUUUUUAAUGUUUCAAUUAUAUAUGCAUGCUCAUCAUACAUUUUUAUGUUUGACAAAUGACGAUUGAUCUAUUGUACAUAUUAACUUUCAAUAUCUCACUUAAUUAAUCGAUAUACAAUGGUGGUUCGUGAUUAUAAAUCUACUCUUAUAUCUUGCAACUAACAUCUCCAAAUGAACUUAAUUUCACUUCUUUUCAAUAAAAAGUCUAUGUCUAUCACUUUCUAAAUCAAAUAACCAGUUUUAAAGUUUCACAUCAUAAAAGCUUUAAGUACAUGAAUCAAGUCCUGGAUAUAAUGAAAUAAAUAUUAUAUAUAACUAGUAAAAUCAAGUAUUUGCAUCAACAUCAUAACUAACUACACCUAAUAUCAAGACAAAAAGGAAAUUGGUUGCACAUACUCAUGGUAGCUAGUACAAAGAAAUGAAGAGAAGAUGAAUUUGCAUCAAAGAUUUGAAGAUUCAAGUUUCAAUGCCUCGACACUAAACCGCCAUAAAGUCGUUAAGCGAAAUGUUGUUCUCGUAGCAAAUUACUCUUUGCAGAAUACCUCAAAUGUUUUACUUAAUUGCUUUCGGUUCGCGAUGGCUUGCUCAACGAAUCUCAAAGAUCAGUGUUUCAUUUAACUCUAUGUGAUAUAUGUUGUAUACAUGCGGCCCUUUGUGAUUUUGAUUUGGUCAAAGCUGAUGUUGAUAUAUUUUUUUAUUAAAAAUAUUGUCGAAUGUGCUCACACAUGGAAAUCAAUACAAAUUAAAAAUUAAAGAAAUUACAUAACUGAAAUUAAAACUUAAAAAUAAAUACUAAACAUUAAAAAAAUCUUCUCCUUCAUCUUCAACCCUAAUCUUCAUUCUCAAGAAUCAAAAUCAAUCUAACAAACCAAACCAAACCCAAUCUUCAUAACCGCAUAUCCAAAAUCAUUGGUUUUAAAAACUUGAGGAUAAAAAUACAUUUUACAUAUAUAUAAAAAAUACACACACGAGAUUAACGUGGGUUUUAGCCUUUCGGUGAUGAACUUAACUGAUUAGUGAUGAAGAUGGGUGGGGUCGGAAAAUGAAGGGAAAUCCAAUAAGUUUUGCCCAAGUAGUAAUUGAAUUAAUUACCUUAUAUAUCAAAACAAACAAAAAAGUGAAAUUGAAUUGCCUUGUCUUUAUGAAAGGGAUUUUACCCUUUAUGAAGAACAUAGUACAUAUUAUCGGCAUAUAAAAAAGUAAUAAUGCACCAAAAAGAAAAAAAAAGAAGAAUGCACCAACGGAUUGUGUCUUGUAGAUAAGUAUAGUGAAUGGAUUAUUCUUUUAUGGUCAAGAGGCUUUCGUGUUUUGGUUAUGCAAUGAUAAAAUUAAUUUUAAAAGAAUUACCUAUGUAAAAUUGAUUUUGUUUAAAAAUGACUUGACAAUAAAAUUAUACACUUCUAAAAUGAGUUGACAAAAAUUGUUUCUUUUAAGAAAAAUCAAACAUAUCAAAAUCAAUUAUAUGAUUUUAGAAUCAAGUUUGUCUCAUCCAAAACUAGAAUCUUGUCUAGGUACUUAUAUUAUAUAUUUUAAUUAGAGUGAUGUCUCUUUACUAGUUUUCUUCCUCUUCCUCUUCAAAGCGACCUUUACAUUAUUCGGGAGUGGAAUAUAAGGUGUUUCCCCCUUCUUCUGGCUCAAACUUUGAUGAAUGCAAAGAGAUAACUCUUAAGGUUCUUAAAGUGAAUGAUCCAUGUCCCUAUUCGAAUUGCACUUUUGGUGGGAUAUGGAAUGGUGGAGGAGGAAGCGGAAAAAAAAAAUCUUUUUGUUUCUUCGGCUUUUGCUUACUUAACCGAAGAUGUAAAACAUUAUUGCUCUACCCGAUUUAUCUUGUUAUUUUAAUGGUAUUUUCUAUUAAGCAUAUACACUCGUCGGAUUAGACGUGUCCCAACAUCGGACACGUGUAAGUGUGUAAGUAUUAGUUCUUCAUAGGUUUUUCUUCAAGCAUUUCUAAUGACAUUGUUUACUUUUGUUAGGUUGGUAUGGAUGAGCCAAAUAAACCUAAUUCCAUACAUCAUCCGGUAGAUUUCGAAGUUGAAGCUAAGCGAGCUUGUACAUUAAACUUUGAGGAUGUCAAAUACACUUACCCACGUCUUACGGAGGAAAAGCGUCCAUAUGUAUGCAUGGAUCUCUUAUACCAGCAUGUGUUGCUCGUUUGUGGAUUUGGUAGGUUUUUUGUCUUGCAUAUCUUUUCUCUCUGUUAUUAAAUAAAACUAGCACAAUUUUAUAAAAAAAUUUAACAAGUAAAUGGAACCUAAAGUUUCUCUAAGAAAUUGUUGCAAGUGUCAAUUGUAAUGUUGUCUUGUAUUUGUUGCCAGGUUUAGAUCCUCAACUAGAGAUUACAGUGGGGCGGGGAAUUCAAUAUCAGAAUUCUGUUGUGGAAGCUGCAUGGCCUCUAGCAUUACCUAAAUUUGAGAGAUUAAUGUAUUUUAUUUAGGCUUCUAGGCGAGCUGAAAUAUUUCAAUUCAAGUAUUUCAACCGUAAAAGCCAGCUUUAUCAAAAAUUAAAUUAAAUAAAAGUGGCUUGUUUUGUCUUUCCUUUCUUCCAUACUUACACUGAUCUUGUGGAUAUGGAUCUCCAGCCAUGUUCUUAUGAUGAGUUCGUUUAUUUAAAAAAAUGUUAAUUAUGAGAAAAAGAAACUAAAUGUGUGCUUAUUGUUCCGUACAAAAACUUAUAUAACCUACCGUGAUACAUUUAGUUGAUAUCGCAAAGAGCUGUGCUAUUCGCAGCGAAAGAAAAUGUCCCGAAAAUAUCACAAAUAAUUAAAAUCGGUAGAUCUUGGCUUAAUUGGAAAACAUGGAUGGCCAAAGAUCGAAGAGGUGGAGGAAGGGUAUUAAUGAACUAAAUCGUGAUCUUCUCGUGGUAUAGUUUUUCUGGAAAACACGCGUUUCCCUAUCGCAAAUGUUAGUUUACAUGAAAAAGUCUUAUCAAUUGAGCAAAUGACAUAUCAACUUAUCAAACGACUUGUCUUUAAACACCAAAUUUUACUGUUGAUUAUAAAAUUAUAAGCUCAAACGAUAUUGCAAAAAUAACAUCUCAAGAAAACUAUAAUUUGUUGAGAGAAACUUGUUUACCAAACACAUCUCAUGUGAUCAAACAUGUUUGUAAGUUUUUUUUUUUUUUUUUUUGAUAUAGCUAAAAAUUCAAUAAAUGUUGUUAGGUGCAGCCUGAACCGCAUACAAAAAUUCUCAGAAACAAAUCCAACAGAAAGAAACAAUCCCUCCUAAAACAGAAAGGAGGGAAGAAAAACAGCUAAAGCAUAGAAAAUCUAGUAAAGACAAUUCCCCUAAAAUUCCAAAGGAUGCAUUUCAUGCUUGGUCCUUGAGGUGAACACUAGUCUUCUUAUGUCUAGUUGAAACUCUGACAGAACUGUUAUCAUCUAAGGUUUUAGCAGCUUUCUUCCAGCCUUUCCUGCCUGGUUUAAUAAAACCAUCUUCAUGAGAAUGUUGCAGAAGCUACUGGUCAGCUUCCUUCAAAUUGGCUAGGGUACCAGCUGUGUCUAUAUCAUGCUCCAAUGAGCUUUGACAGUUGCUCUUGUGAGCCUCAUGGUCAUUAUCAUGAUCCAAUGUGUCAUCAGUAGUAUCAGUGUCCUCAUCCCCCCAAUACUUACUCAAGAUUUUACCAUCUUUCAAACAGGCAGCAGACAAAUUCUUAGGGCCAGCAGUGAAGUGAAACUUUCUCCUGUCUUUCCCUAACAUCUCAUCAUUAGUAGUUAUGGGAGAAAUGAUAGGCUGCAGUGUUAAAUUAUCAUGAAAAAAGGAUUCCUAGCAUCACCAAGUGACACAACAGUAGCAUUGGGGGGAUGACAGCCUCCCAAUUUUGCUACUCUGUUCCAGAGAGGAAGGACCUGUAAUGGGGUAUGACAGCCUCCCAUUAUCAGUGUCCUUACUUGAGUUCAAAGCAACAGGUUGAGAGUUCUUUUUGACCAAGUUACCAAGAUCCUCUAUGUUUGUGCUUUGAGCCAAGAUCACCAUCUCUAGGGAAUUUUCUGCCACAUUUGGAUUUUUAUCCAUUUGCAAAUCCAGUAUAGUGUAGUAGAUUCCAAGUCAUUUGGUAUAGCCUCCCCUGUUACCUGCUUAGUAUCUGUCUUACGUAACUCAAAAGAGUUGUGAAGUGUGAGAUUGUCGUCAUUGUGCUGAGCACUAGCAGUUACAUUAUUGUCAUCAAGAAUGAGUUCAACUUCAGUGGUACUAUCUUGUGGUAUUUCUCCUUCCUCACAACCGUGCACUGGGACCUUAUGAGUAAUAUUGUUGUCAUAGGUAGCAGCAGACUUUUUACCAACUGCUGUAACUUUAGGUGGUGGAACUGUGUUAGCAGAAACAACAACAUCAUGCUUAGUGGCCAUAUCAGAGUUUUGUGUUGCAUAGUAGCAAGUUUCUGAGGGACCUUCCCAUUGGCAGCAUUAAGUUUAGAGAAAUUUUGGAUGUCAUGCCCUAAGGCCUUGCAGUGAGAACAAAACAGAGGGUAUUUCUCAUAUUGCACCCCUAUAGUCAAGGCAUGACCAUCCCUUUCCACAAUUAUGGAUUCAAACAGCUUCUCAGACAUGUUGACAUCCACUAAGAUUCUAGCAAAGAGGCCAAAACGCCUGGUUUGGGUUGCCUCAUCAAUGAUGAGAGGAGUUCCCAAACUAGAAGCAAUUUCAAACAAAGUUUGCUUUCCCCAAUACUCUUGUGGGAGUUGCAUUAAUCUGACCCAAACUUGUGCAUGUGUUUGUGCCUAUGCCCUAGGUGCGAAAUCCUUUGUCCAACAAAAGAAUCUUAGAAACCCAGGUUUCAAAUUCAGAGCACCAAUUGCCCAAACCUGUUUCAUAUCUUCAAUUGAACUAAAAUGGAAUUCGAAAAAACCCUUACCAAGAGAAAUCAAGCUCCAAUUCUACAGAUUAGGCCAGAGAUUGUGGAGUUUGGCCUUUAGAGCUUGUGUAGUUAUCGGUGAAUCUCCUUUGUGGAGAGUCAAACGGCCAUGGAGGUUGCAUUGGCACGAAACUAAUCCUGCUUCAUACGCGGCCUGUGAGAUCUUAACACGCGCUGAAUCGCCCAUAAUCACCUUCGGAGGAAGAUUUGCCAUAAAAUUGUUAUCGGACGAAGCACCAGAGGAAGAGUUGGAGAGUGCCUGAGCAAAGGACUUCCCAGAUUCCGGCGAUUGUUGUUUCUUUGUCAGAGGAGCAUCCAAAGAAGCCAUGGGCACACCAUGAUUCAAGGAGAACAGAGAAAUAGGAGGUUCACCGUAGAGGAACCAACGAAGGUGAGAACAGUCCAAAGAGGUGGAGAAGAGGAGAAUCUGUGUAGAUCUGAGAAAUCACCGUGAAGGUGAAGAAAACGCCGUGAAAUAGACGUAGAAAGGUGGGAGAAACAGCGUCGGAGCUACGCUGGUGGUGGUUUAGGUCGCCGGAAAAAAAAAACGGUUACGGUGCACUCUCUCAGCGAGAGAGAAAAUUAGAAAAAUCAUUUUCGUUUAUCAAAGGUGCUUGAGUUAGAGAAUAAUUCUUAAUUGAACAUGUUUGUAAGUUAUUUCUAUAAACUAUAACUUAACUUAUUAAUUAGCAUUACAACAUAGAGUUUCUACGCGAGUUUUUUUUUCUUUCUUUUCUGCCCCUAUCACCAAAAAAUUGAUAUGUUUGCUCCUAGUUCAAUGCCUUUGUUCUUCAUUUAACUUGGCAAACAUAACCAUUUUUUUUCAACUUCAAGCUUUUUCUGCAUCUCCUGUGUGUUUUACGAAUGAAAUGGAGAACAUACCUUUUUUUAAUAUCUUCUUUUGUGUUCUAUAUUUCAAAUGGUGAACAGUCUUUUUUUUAUUUUUUUUUAUUUAUAUUUCAAAUGACAACAUGCCUUAAGUUUGUAUUUUUCGUCUUUUUUGUUUUAAUGAAAGAAAAAGGUUGUUUUUUAAUUAAAAAAUUCUAACUAAAAAAAGAAAAAAGCCAAGUAAAAAAAUUAAUAAGAAUUAAUGUUCGCCAUUUUGAGUGGCAAACAGCUAAUAAAUUUGAAAAAAAAAAUGUGUUCACCAUUAUGAAUAGCAAACAUCAAAAUAGAAAUAAAAAAAAAAGAAAUAAGCAUGUUGGUUAAUUCACAACAAGAACAUGCAGUUGAAAAAUUGUGUAUGUUCGCCAAAUGAAAUGGAGAACAAGGGCAAUUGCAUCAAUACUUUUGAAUAGAGGACAGACAUAUCAUUUUUUUGUGAGAGGACAAGGAAAUAAAAAAUUUCUUUUAACGCAUCCCUCAAUGAUUUUACUUGUUUAACUAAUAUCUUAAUUCCUUGUCAGAAUUAUAUCGUGUUCUGAUUCGAUCAAGAAUAGAUAAUAGUAAUAUAAUAGAGCACCCAUACCCAUAUCUCUAAUGAGUCUAUCUUAGCCAACGAAUUAAGACAUAAUUUAAGAGAAAGAAAACACGAGAUAAUCACGUUUCUUAAAUUAUUAUUUCAUCUUCACUUUUUCCAUUUAUACAUAGUGGAUUGUGAAUCAUAACCAACACAUUCUGGAGCUAGCUAGCUAGUUUCAAAAUUGUUAACAUGGAGUUCCUAAUUACACUCAUUACCACUUUUUUACUCUUGUUAAUGCCUGCAAUCACUUCCUCCCAAUAUUUAGGAAACAACCUACUCACUAAUCGAAAGAUUUUCCAAAAACAAGAAACCUUAACAUCUUACGCUGUCAUAUUUGAUGCUGGUAGCACUGGUACUCGUGUCCAUGUUUACCAUUUUGACCAGAACUUAGAUCUUCUUCACAUUGGCAAUGAUAUUGAGUUU
rnacentral:lncRNA from 1 species